GAUGAACGCUAGCUACAGGCUUAACACGUGCAAGUCGAGGGGUAACAAGAGGAAAGCUUGCUUUUCUUGUUGACGACCGGCGCACGGGUGAGUAACGCGUAUCCAACCUGCCUAUAACUAGGGAAUAACCUUGCGAAAGUAAGACUAAUACCCUAUGAUUUCCUUUGAUGGCAUCAGAUUAGGUAUAAAGAUUUAUCGGUUAUAGAUGGGGAUGCGUCUGAUUAGCUUGUUGGCGGGGUAACGGCCCACCAAGGCAACGAUCAGUAGGGGUUCUGAGAGGAAGGUCCCCCACAUUGGAACUGAGACACGGUCCAAACUCCUACGGGAGGCAGCAGUGAGGAAUAUUGGUCAAUGGGCGGAAGCCUGAACCAGCCAAGUAGCGUGCAGGAUGACGGCCCUAUGGGUUGUAAACUGCUUUUAUACAGGAAUAAAGUUAGCCACGUGUGGUUAUUUGUAGGUACUGUAUGAAUAAGGACCGGCUAAUUCCGUGCCAGCCGCCGCCGUAA
rnacentral:rRNA from 1 species